rnacentral:lncRNA from 1 species
AUGCAGGAGAGAAGAAAACAAAAGGAUCCCAUUCAAAUUCAUCAAAACAUGAGCUUUACCAACAUCGUAAACAUGGAGAGCACUUCUUCCCCUCCUCCCCACUUUUUGGCCAAUACCACACUCCAGCUUACACCCAGAACCUCCAUUUCUCACAUACAAGGCUCGUUCCUGCUCAACACCAUCCUGCCCAUUGUCAAAUGCCCGCGCACACUCCAUGCCUCUUCCAAAAUCACUGCUACAACACCUGAACGAUGCUCCACCCCACAGACAGCAUCCAGCUCCAAACCCACCUCUGAGCAUCACCCUCUGCAGAGCCUCGCCUUCUCCCACAAUUGCCAGGCUCUUCCCCAAUUCACAAACGGCACUCGCAAGGUUAUGCACUGGCUCUGCAAUCUCAGUGUUAAACAGAGAAAGCUGGACCGAUGGAAAAUGUUUACAGCAGCUCCUGGUGGAGCCACCACUCCUCAUGCUCAGGAACACAGGAGUCAAAGGCCAUCUGCCAGACUGCUGCAAAUCCAGGCCCAUGGUACAGAAGAGUGAGAUGAACGAAAACCAAGUGGGCAGACAAAAAAAAACUCUACGUAGAACCUGGGGAGGCCCUGGAACACUGGGCCAGGGAUUGACACAAAUAGCCUUCCUUGGAGACACACAGACCUCGACAGGAUGAGGCCCUGACCAGCCUCUUCUAACUGCAAUGUUCGUCCUGCUCUCAGCAAGGGAACCAUGGAUGUCCACGUGUCACCUUCAGCAUGAGGUUCCUUAAGGUCCUCGGCACUCACUUCCACUGCAAAAAGGGAGGUCAUCCCAGGAAAACAUCAGCUUCCAGCAAGUUGCAAGCAAACACAAGGCAAAAUCGCCCUGCUCAAGAUCAUCCUGGGAACAUCCAUAAUGGCACAAUCCUACUCAGUGCCACUGACAUGUUCACCUCCACCAGAUACCAUACUUGCUCACCACAGCCCAAGGCUGACUCCAGCUUUUGCAGAACCUUCUCAUCAAUGAAAGCAUCACAAAGAAAAAUACAAACAGAAUCACAUAGACACUGUCUCCAGCACACCCUCUGCAGCUGACCCUUCCAGUUUUCAGUGCUUCAGCAAUCUCAGAUGCAAACAUUACAGGUGGAUUAGGAACACAAUUUCUAAAGGUGAUGGUGUGAUAGCCCAAAAGGCAAUGGGUGCUGAUUUCAAUUUGUUAACGAACACCCCAGAUGUUGAUGACACAAGUACUCUUACGGAUGAUGUCAACUUUAUGCAUGUAUGUGUUACUUCUUCUUGCAAUGAAGCAUUCUGGGGCUUCUGAAGGGGGUGGCUGUGAAUGCCAAUGGAUCACAGCAAGUUGGACACCGCAUGUCAAAGCAUUCCUCUAGGGGGAAAAAUAAGGUCACAGCCAGGCAAAGAGGGAAGUACAAUUGUUUCAUGUGUCUCCGUGGAACACAUUUCUUAGCAAUUCAAAAACAACACAAGUGCAUAUGAAUGACUUCCCAGUUGUCCAGUGGUUGUCUGUCAAGAAAAAAAAAUAGAUUCAUGGAUGCAGAAUUGGUUUA